rnacentral:lncRNA from 1 species
GUGAGUGUGGGGUGGCGAAGGCUCCAAUCAUUAGAUCGAACGCUGAAGGGUCUUGGCUCUGUUUCUUUCAAGCAUCUGAGUUUUCUUUCGAGCAAUUUGCUUCUAGUAGCAAGAAUCGAUGGCAACCGGUCCUACCACUCCUCUGUCUCAUAUUGAUUUACAAACCCUAACAAGCCUGUUCAGUCAGUUCAAUCAGAUGCAACAAAAUUCUAAUCGUGCUAAUUUGAGUCCAAUUUUGGAUCCAACAAGCCACUACUACUUGCAUCCGGGAGAGAGUCCAGGUACUCCCCUAAUUGCAUCGAUUCUCAACUUGAAUAACUAUCAUACCUGGGAGACAUCAAUGUCGAGAGCUUUAAGAGGU